rnacentral:lncRNA from 1 species
GAUGAUUGACCUCUUUACAACAUUGGUUAUUUUCCUUCUUUUGUGCGGAGGAUAACAGUAGUAAGUGAAGUUUUAGGCAUUAAAGAAUAGUUAUGGGGGAAGAUGGACUUCAUUAAGAUUUUCUUCGGUUGGUUUGUUUUGGAGUGGACAUGUGAAAUUUACCGUAAAAUAGCAUAUCCUGUCUAGAAAGAAAAUUCAGGUAUGUUAAGGUUAUCCCUUCUUUCUUUUGGCAUGAUCCAUGUAACGAUAUGUAAACGUAAUGCUUUUCAAUAAGUGAUUCUACUGUUAGUAGUUAAGGAUAUCUAUGUUAUUCAUUCCCGUAAAGUGAUAUUCAAGCAUGUCUAAGUACGUAUGUAGCUUCCUACUGAGGAAUUUGAUAAAGAUGUUAAUGUUCAAAAUAUAGUAAUACAUGCAUCUUCAUGCAUAUGCAUUUACCACCGAGCUACAACCGGUUGGGCAGUUACAUAUUUACCACUGUGCUACGGCCGGUUGGCAGACAAGCAUAUUCAUUUACCGACGAGCUACGACCGGUCGGACAGUCAUGCAUUUACCACCGGGUUAUGACCGGUUGGGAAUUUACCACCGGUUGGGCAGUUAUGUAUUAUUAUUUACCACCGGUUGGGCAGCCAUACAUUUACCACUGUGCGAUGGCCGGUCGGACAGUUACCACUGAUCAGUUGGGCAGUCAUGCAUCAUACGAUAUGAAUAAUAGUAUUAAAGAGAAAUCAUUGUAUAUAUAUGAGUAUAAUAAGUAUGCAUAUACGGUGGAACUUCAGAGAUUCAAGAUGGUUCUUAUAUGUCUUUAAUUAAUGUUGAAUUAUGGUUAUGUUUUAGUUUUGCCUUCCAUACUCAGUACAUUAUUCGUACUGACGUCCUUUUCAUGGGGACGCUGCAUUCAUGCCUGCAGGUAUAGAUAAUCAGUUUGACGAGCACUCAUAUUAUACGAGAUUGGCAUUCAGCAAAGGAUCGGUAAGACUCCACCUCAUUAUGAGUGCAGCCGAGUCUAUAAGCCAUUGUGUCAGAGUUUUGCUACAAGACUUAUGGGUAGGCCGAUACCCUGUCCCAUUUGAUGUCAAAUCAUCUUAGAGACUUUGUAGACAGAGGUUCAUUUUGUACAGUAUGUCAGAGGUCUUGACGGCCCAUAUGUAUUCAUGUUUUAAGAAAAAUGAUACAGUGAUACAAUGUUUUCCCACUUACAAUUGUACAUUACGAGUUGUGGCAAUGUUGACCCAUGAUAGUUACAAAAGGAACGAAUGAGUUACAGAGUGGUUUGCUCAGGCCACUAUUGCACUGGGUGCCAACCACGCCUCCCUAGGUUUGGGGCGUGACAAAGUGGUAUCAGAGCGGGUCGUGUCCUGGGGAGUCUACAAAGUCGUGCCUAGUAGAGUCUCACUUAUGGGUGUGCUGCGCGCCACAUUUAUAAUUGAGAGACUAUAGGGAAUUUAGGAAAUGUUACCCUUCUUUUGUUUCCAGAUCGUGCCAUAGAGCUAAGUCGUAAGAAGUCAGUAUAAAAUUUCCACCGAAAUUUUAUAUGCACUAGAAGUGCUAUCACAAUAGAGCAUUAAGGCAUAUAUGUAAUUUCUACCUAUGUGGAAGAGAGGUUAUGAA